AAAAAAAUAGUCAAAUUUAAACGGUUGUUCCAAAUAUAAACAAUUGUGUAUCCAAAAAGUCUUGAAAAAUGUCAAAUCUAAACGAUCCGUACAAAAAAAUCUUGAAAAAUGAAAAAAAAAAAUGUUUAGAUUUGGCUACUCAUAUCUAAAUGACAAAUCUAAAACAAUUGUAUAGGAAAGAAUAGUUAUCUUAAUAGACAUUUUUUAUAUUUUCCAUUAUGGACCGUGAGUUUUUAUUUUUUGAAAUUGUUUUGUAUGGUGUAAAUAUUUUACUAUUUUUUAUAUUCGUUAAAAGACCCCUUUUUAAAAACUACUUUGUUGUUCAAAUUUGAAAAUGCGUUUUUUUUAACAUGAGUAAAAAAGAAAUAAAUAAAUAAAAGAAAUUUGGAGGUGGGUGGGUUGCUUGUUUGAUUUAGUUUUCAAAACCAAAACAAAAAUGGUUACCAAAGGGAGUCUUAGUAAUUCUAUUUUUUAAACAAUUGUUGAUUAGUUGUCAUUCAAUUUAAAAUGAACGCUAAAAAUCAUAUUUGUCAUUAAAUUUGUAACUUUGAAGAUUUUGUCUUGGUCAAAGAACUAUUUAUACUAUAAACUCGGGAGGAGGCUUUAUCAAUUAAACAAACUUUCAUAGUGUAUCAAUUUACGUUCUAUUUGAAUUUUCAUUGGUCAAGAAGAUUUUGACCAUUCAUUAAGAUUACUUUUGAAAAUCAUUGUGAUGGGUGUUGUAGGCAUGCACAACAAAAAUAAGGAUCAAUUUUACCUUAAUUGUAUCUAAUCUUAUUAGAAAUUAACAUGCUACUACCAUAAUUAAAAUGAAAUUAGAGUUAAUGAAAUUUAUACCUUUAAAGCUCCUGAUCACUCAUAGUCUUCAUACGAACACAAACUCGUACCACCACUAGUAUUGACUCGUUACUCUCCGGACUUAGAAUCAAGUUGUGGGACCCGGUGAGUGAAGGAUUUGCGAGAGAUGAAAUUUAGAGGUUGGACUUAGGGUUAAAAGUUGGAAGAGAAUACAAUUUUUGGUGAAUUUUCUUUUUUAAAAUUUUAGAAACAAUAAACUAAAAAUUACCAAAAGUUUUUCACCUUUUGAAAAAGUAGUAUUUAAAUGGACUAAUUACAUGUCAUGUCAUGUCUAAACUCACCAAACCCCAACUCCAAAAUCUAAUUAAUUAAAGGAAUAAUAAGAGAUAUAACAACGUUUUUAAGCAUCAUUUUGAAAAAUGACAAAACCACUUUUUCUUUUGAAUUUUAGCAAAUAGUAUUUUUUGCACGUGCAUGAUAUUUUAUAAAAUACCCACCUUCCCCAACUGUAAUUAUUUUGUUUCUACGUUAUAAUUAAUUUUGUCUUUCAUUUAUUAACCUUUAAUUAACCUGAGACCUCUUGUCGACAGGAACAUACAUGUGUCAGUUGAGCUAAGCUCAUGUCGACAACCUUUAAUUAUUUUUUAUCUGAAAAAGAUAUAACAAUUCAUAUCAAAAUAACAUUAGUCGGUUAAAUCACAAAAAUAACUAAAUUAUUAUUUUGAAUUAAAAUUUUCUUAUGCUCUUUUUGUCUAAGUGAAAACUCGCUUAUUUAUUGUAAUUAAUGUAAUUAUUUCAAUAUAUUGCAUUCUUAUCAAAAAAUUUGUCUUUGUAAUUAAUUUGUGAUAUAUAGUUAUAAGUUUAUCAAAAGUCUUUCCAGUAUAAUUAAUUUGUGAUAUGUAAUUAUGAGUAAUUAAUUUCAACGUGUUAAUAAAUAGAGAGUCUUAUCGUAACCUCUUCCUAAUAUCUAGGGAUUUAAAAGAAUUUUAACAGCUUUAUUCAUUUUUUUGUUUCAAAAGUAAUAAAAUUGUUUUUUUUUUCUUCUAAAUCUCAACCUUUUUAUUUCAAAAUAUACUAACCUUUUCGUCAUUUUUUAUUUCAAAACAACGUAUUAGAUCCUAAGUUAUUUUUAAAUUUUGAAUUUUGAAUUUAAAAAUUAAAAUUAAUUUUCUUAUUAAGAUCUCAACUUUUUUAUUAUUAUUAUUUGAAAAUUAAAUCUCAACCUUUUUUAUUUUAAAAUAAGUUGAAUCUUCAAGAAAAAAAAUUAGUUUUCGUAUUAGAUCUUAAUUUGUUUUUUUAAAUUAUUUUUUCAAUAAAAUAGACUAAGAUAUUGUGUUUUUAGAUAAAAUCUCCUAAAUUUCAUAUACAUUUUAUUAAAUAAAUAAUAUUAAUUAAAAAAAAUUAGCAAAAUUUCCUCUACGAGACAAGAAAGAUAACUUUUAUAUAUUUUUUUUGUUUUGAAUGAAGGUUUUUGUUCUUCCACCCAAGCAUUUACAGGUUGUAGACUUGAAAAUCAAAGAUGGAAGAUGAAAAAUGAAGAUAGUGUUUGCGUGCUUCAAAUGUUUAUAUUCUUCUUCUUGAAAAUGCAUGAUGAUGAAGAUGUAAUCUAAACUUCAAAUGGAAGAGGGUGGAGAUUGAGGUUUGUCCGCUCGAACAAGAUGAGAUAAAAAAAAUUGGAAAGUAGAGACGAAGGAAGAUGAAGUUAAAACUCCAAAUAGAAGAGGGUGGAGAUUGGGGUUUGCCCGCUCGAAGAAGAUGGGAUCAAAAAAGAAAAAUGAAAAGUGGAGAUGAGGAAAGAUUUUCAAAAUGGAAGAUGAGAAACAAAAAAAAAAAAAUGAACGAUCUCAACGGGUCUGUAAAAUGAUAAGAUUUAUUAUUAAGGUGUAUUUAUUCUAUUUUAGCCUUUAUGUAUAGGGGUAUUUUGAGUUUUUUUCAAAUUCUUAUUUGUUGUAUUUUUUCUUCAUUUUGCCAUUUUUGAAAAAAAAAAACGAUUUUGCUAUUUUUCAAAAUCACAACUUUAAAAUUGUUAUUCUUGUAGUUUACCCUUAAUUAAAGCACAAAAGUUACUAAGCUAUGCCUAAAUUGACCGUGAAAGUACUCUAUUUAUAGAUAGAUGAAAAAAAUUAAUUAUAUCUAAUAAAUUUUAUAAACAAAUAUUUUUUUUUAAAAUUACAUAUAUUAGUUUUUUUUACAUAUUAAUUUUAUAAAAAAAAUAUUAUCUUAUGUUGACCAGUUAUUCUCCAGACUUGGAGUGGAGGUUGUGGGACACAAUGAUUAAGGAUUUGAGAGAGAGAUUAUGAAAUUUGGAUUUGAGUAGGGAGAAUUUAACAAUUAAAAAUCCACCCUUUAAAUAGUUGCAUGUAUAAACUCACCAAAGUCCAACACCUCACAUUUCAUUAGUGAGUUUGGUGUCAUCACCAUGAACUUCACUUAGCCCAAUAAUGAGUUAGUGGAAUUGUGAAUGAGAUUGUUGUCAUGGCUGUGAGCCUCCACACUACCCACUAAGAAUUAGUAGGAUUAUCCAACAAAAUGUUAAAUUUUUUCACUAACUUUAAUCAAAGGAUAAAAUGUUCAUGAACAUUCAAAUCAAAGCCAAUCUUUGAAUUUUAAAGUCAAAAGUCUCAACGUUUUGACUUUUUACCAUUUUGUUCGUCUUGACUAAUUCUAACCUCCCGAGCAUGAAUCCACAUUCAGUUUUACAAAAUUCAAAUAACAUUUGAAUAUACUGCUAGUCAAAUAGUCAAAGUUUGACUUUUCAAAAUUAAAAGUAACUCUUUGACAUUUUACUUGACUUUUUACAACUUUGACUAUUUCCAUCAUUUUUUAGCUUUCGAAUAUAAAUAUGCAUUCGUGUAUUUUAUAUUUAAACCACAUUUAAGUAUAAAUAUCUAUAUGUAAACUAAUAAUUUAUUGGAAUUUAUGUCUUAAAACUCGUAAUUUAUAGUUUUAAAAUUAUAUUCUAUUCAAUAAAGUUGUUAUUGAGAACUUAUUAGUGAAAAUUGAAUAAUAUGGAAUUCAAUAAACUAAGGUUCUAAGGUCAUCUAGUGUCUUUACAUAAAAUUCAAGUCUACAUUAGAUAACAAGAUGUAGUCUCGGGGUAAAUGAUAUUUUGACCUAGUUGGGGUACGAACAACCUGUGAAAGAUUAACUUACUAAUCAUGGUUAUAUCAAAUGGACACAAAUAUAUAUAGUGAGGGGAGUUCUAUUACGAAACUUUAGUGGAAUGACCUGUUAGUUAAUGAAUGUUGAUUAGCUCGGAAUAAAAAGGUUUAACUAGUUAAUUUUGAAUCUUUGGAGUCCAUAAUCUAUAGGUGAAGAGAUAAAAGUCCUAUGGCAGCAAAAGAUUUUAUAGAACCAUUGCUCAAUUUAAUUUGGAAAUCUCAAAAUAUCAGUACAUUGGAAAAACUUAGGAUCAAAAUUAUAAAUAAAAACUAAGCAUGCUUUUUAUUUAAAAGAUACAGAGAACUUACUUUCAUUGACGUCUCUAAAUCUACGAACUACUGAAUUGGGAACACCACCCCGUCGGAAACCUUCCUAUCAUCUUAGAUGAGAUUGAUUUGUGAAAACCAAUUGGGAUGGAAAAAAGUUUAGAAGUAGUUGAGAGAAACUCUUUUCUUUUUCAAAGCAAAAGCCUUGACUUUUUUUUCUUGAUCAAAUUUC
rnacentral:lncRNA from 1 species